rnacentral:rRNA from 1 species
AACGAACGCUGGCGGCAUGCCUAACACAUGCAAGUCGAACGAGACCUUCGGGUCUAGUGGCGCACGGGUGCGUAACGCGUGGGAACCUGCCCUUAGGUUCGGCAUAACUCCCCGAAAGGGGUGCUAAUACCGGAUAAUGUCGUCGGACCAAAGAUUUAUCGCCUUUGGAUGGGCCCGCGUUGGAUUAGCUAGUUGGUAGGGUAAAAGCCUACCAAGGCGACGAUUCAUAGCUGGUCUGAGAGGAUGAUCAGCCACACUGGGACUGAGACACGGCCCAGACUCCUACGGGAGGCAGCAGUGGGGAAUAUUGGACAAUGGGCGAAAGCCUGAUCCAGCAAUGCCGCGUGAGUGAUGAAGGCCUUAGGGUUGUAAAGCUCUUUUACCCGGGAUGAUAAUGACAGUACCGGGAGAAUAAGCUCCGGCUAACUCCGUG